GAUUAACGCUGGCGGCGUGCAUAACACAUGCAAGUCGAACGAUGAAACUUAGUAGACUUCUUCGGAAAGACACUAAGCGGAUUAGUGGCGAACGGGUGAGUAACGCGUGAGUAACCUGCCUUACACAAGGGGAUAGCCUUUGGAAACGAAGAAUAAUACCCUAUAAAACCAUAAAAGCACAUGCUAGUAUGGUCAAAGUGAUAGCGGUGUAAGAUGGACUUGCGUCUGAUUAGCUAGUUGGUGAGAUAAAAGCUCACCAAGGCAACGAUCAGUAGCCGGCUUGAGAGAGUGUACGGCCACAUUGGGACUGAGACACGGCCCAGACUCCUACGGGAGGCAGCAGUGGGGAAUUUUGCACAAUGGGGGAAACCCUGAUGCAGCGACGCCGCGUGAUUUAGAAGGCCUUCGGGUUGUAAAAAUCUUUUGUAUAGGAAGAAAAUGACAGUACUAUACGAAUAAGGUCCGGCUAAUUACGUG
rnacentral:rRNA from 1 species